rnacentral:rRNA from 1 species
AUGGAACUGCCUCUGGUUAGUGCUUCCCUGGGUGCCAUGGGCUACCUUGCAGGGAAGCUGGAGCUGGAUCCACUCCUUGAUGUGGAACUCAAGCUUGAGGUGUGGAAACUCACAAGCAGGCUGGUGCUGCACUCGGAGGCACGAGAGUCUCCCGUAGAGGCCACGAUCUGGAUGAAGGAUGUGCGCGAGCUAUCCUAUGACAUGGAAAACUGCAUCGACCUUGCCGAGCCGGAUUGGGUCGCCAGGAUGUCUGGAUUCAAGGCCCGUGUGAAGGAGGCCAAUGAGCAGUACGAUAGGUGUAUGCUUGGAAGCAUCCCCAUCUGUUCAAAUGCUGCAACUGAUUUCCAGAUCCCAAUCGUUGAUGGCCGAAGGAGGCCAGACCUGCCAGUCGUCGGUCUUCAUGACGGUCUGUUUGAUGCCCUCUACCAGUGGCUGACCGAUGAUGAUAAGGAGCUCAAGGUGGCAUCCAUUGUCGGUGUCGGGGGAAUCGGCAAGACCACGCUCGCCAAACAGCUAUGGCAUAAGCACAAACCUGGAGGCUACUUUGGCUGCCGGGCCUUUGUGCGGACGGCCAAGAAACCUGACAUCAGGAGGUUCCUCAGGAGCAUGCUCGCACAAGUUCGUCCGCACCAACCACCCGACACUAAUGAGGUGCACGAGCUGAUUCAUGACAUCAGGCAGCAUCUACAAGGGAAAAGAUACUUUCUUAUAAUCGAUGAUUUAUGGGCUACAUCUGUAUGGGAUGUUGCUAGACGGGCUUUCCCGGAGGGUAAUGGAAGCAGGAUAAUAACAACGACUGAAAUUAAGGAUGUUGCACUUGCAUGCUGUCGUUAUCAGUCCAAAUCCAUCUAUAAGAUGGAACCUCUUAGUGUCAAUCACUCAGAAGAAUUGUUCAUCAGAGGAGUGUUUGCCUCUGGAGAAGAAAAAUCUCGCCAAUUGGAUAAAGUGUGGGAGGAGAUAAUAAGAAGAUGUGCUGGUUUACCACUGGCAAUUAUUAGCAUAUCCAGUGUUCUAGCAAGCCAAGGGGAAGCAAAUACAAUACAUCACAUGGAGCAAAUACAGAACAUUUUACCAACAAAUACAACUCAUGUGGAGGUACUCAAACAAGUACUCAAUUUUUGCUACAACUGUCUUCCCAGUCAUUUGCAGACAUGUCUGUUGUAUCUCAGUUUCUACCCAGAGAACUAUAUAAUCUUGAAGAUAUAG